rnacentral:lncRNA from 10 species
GCAGGCGGGUUGGUGGGUCUCCUUGAGAUGCCACAUUUGCAAGCUUGAGAAGCUGAACUUGAAAUCCAUCCUUGGAAAAUCAUUUUGCAAGCAGGUACUAAAGCAAUAAUUGCCCUUCCCUUGGGGGGCCCUGAGGAAUGAGGAGAGGGAACCUGGAGGAGGGAUUUUGCAGAAAACUUUAGCCCAUUCAGUUGUAUAAACUCCAAUGGAAAUGGAGGGGAAGAGGAGACGUUCGUUCUUACAAUUGCUUUUUCAAAAAGCUCUUUUACAUCGUUUAUGUCAUUUCAGAGAUGUACGCGCCCAAGCCUGCUCCAUCGCUAUUGAACAUGGAGUGGGUGGAGUGAAGGGCACAGAGGUAAAACAUGGCUUUGAGAUGUUUGGACUGGGACCCAAGGACAAUGAUGGUGUCACUGACUGGUGGGGACAUCGGUGGGAGAAACGAUGAGGCGUGAAUCUGGACACCGGCCACAAUCAAGCCCUGCUCUUCUUGAGUUCAACUGGGAAAAAUGCAGUAGACAACGUGGUAGUGUAAAGGAAGUUUCCAGGGGCUUCCUGUAGGGAUUUGGUGGUAGAAGAUCAGAAGUUUUGUCUAAUUUAUCUAAACCAAAUUUUAUAAGGCAAAGAUAAAGCCUAUAGAAAGAAGCAGUUUAAUUUCACAGUUGGGAAACUGAAGUUAUUGUAAGUUUUGGGUUCAAUUAGAUUGGAAAGUUUACUAUACAGCAUAUCUUUCCCUUUCCUCCUCCCUCCUUCUCUCCCUCCCUCCUUCCUUUCCUCCUUCCUUCCCUCCUCUCACCCUUCCUUUCUUCCAUUAACCGAUCCAUCCAUCCAUCCAUCCACCCACCCAUCCACUUUUGUACUUACUGGAAAAUGAGCCUAUACAUUUAGAGUGUUUACAUGUAUCUCCCAUAGUUUCUGAAGUGAAAAAAAAAGACUCAGGGGAAACAGCAUGUUGCCUGGCAGAACUGGCGGCUUCCGUUCAGAAGGCAGAAGGGCAAAGUAACUGAGGUUCCUGGGUGGUGUUUUUCUUCUCUGUGUGCAGCCAGCCCUCUUUAUUCUUCAUCUCUAGGGGCUUCACAUAGCUGGGGCAGCCCCACCCUUCAGAAGUGUCAUCUU